AGCAUCAAAACUACCAGUAGCCUCUUCUCGCAAUAUGGCACUCAUCAGUAGCAAAACAAGGUCGAUUGUCUGCAAAACUGCAAUUGCUCUCUUUGUUGUUGUGAUGAUAUGUUCUAUGUUGCCAUCCUCUGAUGCACGUGGUGCAGUUGGACCGUGGAGAUGCGACCCUUUAAAAAAUUGCACUCGCCAUUUGUGCCACUCUCAUUGCAAAAAAGGAGGAUUUUUUGGUCACAGUGGUAAUUACUUAUGUUUCGACAAGGAUGGGUGUUGCUGCGGAAAAAAGCUUGCGAUGCAAAAAUGACAUCACCGAGGGUGAUCAUGCUUGUGUAAAGCAAUGUUGAUGAAUAAAAUCUUUUUUGUAAUUGAUCAAUAUGCAUUUUAUGCAUUAACAAAUCUUAAUUGAAUAACUUUUGUUUCUUA